UACGGAGGGUGCGAGCGUUAAUCGGAAUUACUGGGCGUAAAGCGUGCGCAGGCGGUGAUGUAAGACAGAUGUGAAAUCCCCGGGCUCAACCUGGGAAACUGCGUUUGGAACUACAAGACUAGAGUGUGUCAGAGGGGGGUGGAAUUCCGCGUGUAGCAGUGAGAUGCGUAGAGAUGCGGAGGAACACCGAUGGCGUAAGGCAGCCCCCUGGGAUAACACUGACGCGUCAUGCACG
rnacentral:rRNA from 1 species